rnacentral:rRNA from 1 species
CAGUAGCCACGGGAACACGAAGGGGGCUAGCGUUGCUCGGAAUGACUGGGCGUAAAGGGCGCGUAGGCGGCGAUCAAAGUCAGGCGUGAAAUUCCUGGGCUCAACCUGGGGGCUGCGUUUGAUACUUGGUUGCUAGAGUGAGGAAGAGGGUCGUGGAAUUCCCAGUGUAGAGGUGAAAUUCGUAGAUAUUGGGAAGAACACCGGUGGCGAAGGCGGCGACCUGGUCCUUGACUGACGCUGAGGCGCGAAAGCGUGGGGAGCAAACAGGAUUAGAUACCCCAGUAGUCCCUGUCUCUUAUAC